GGCGAACGGGUGAGUAACACGUGACCAACCUGCCUCUUACAUUGGGACAACCAAAGAAAUUCUGGCUAAUACCAAAUACUCCGCACAUAUCACAUGAUGUAUGCGGGAAAGCUUUUGCGGUAAGAGAUGGGGUCGCGGCCCAUUAGGUAGACGGCGGGGUAGAAGCCCACCGUGCCGAUGAUGGGUAGCCGGGUUGAGAGACCGACCGGCCACAUUGGGACUGAGAUACGGCCCAGACUCCUACGGGAGGCAGCAGCA
rnacentral:rRNA from 1 species